rnacentral:rRNA from 1 species
AGGACGACGCUGGCGGCGUGCCUAAUACAUGCAAGUCGAACGGUCUUUCUAUGGAAGCUUGCUUCCACUGAGAAGAUAGUGGCGAACGGGUGAGUAACACGUGGGUAACCUGCCCAUAAGAGGGGGGAUAACAUCCGGAAACGGGUGCUAAUACCGCAUAGUUUUCUUGAUCGCAUGAUUGAGAAAGGAAAGACGGCCUUUGUGCUGUCGCUUAUGGAUGGACCCGCGGCGUAUUAGUUAGUUGGUGAGGUAACGGCUCACCAAGACGAUGAUACGUAGCCGACCUGAGAGGGUGAUCGGCCACAUUGGGACUGAGACACGGCCCAAACUCCUACGGGAGGCAGCAGUAGGGAAUCUUCCGCAAUGGACGAAAGUCUGACGGAGCAACGCCGCGUGAGUGAAGAAAGGUUUUCGGAUCGUAAAACUCUGUUGUCAGAGAAGAACAAGUUGGAGAGUAACUGCUCCAGCCUUGACGGUAUCUGACCAGAAAGCCACGGCUAACUACGUGCCAGCCGCCGC